rnacentral:rRNA from 1 species
UGAGUAAUACAUCGGAACGUACCCAGUAGUGGGGGAUAACGCACCGAAAGGUGCGCUAAUACCGCAUACGACCUAUGGGUGAAAGCGGGGGACCGUAAGGCCUCGCGCUAUUGGAGCGGCCGAUGUCUGAUUAGCUAGUUGGCGGGGUAAAAGCCCACCAAGGCGACGAUCAGUAGCUGGUCUGAGAGGACGAUCAGCCACACUGGGACUGAGACACGGCCCAGACUCCUACGGGAGGCAGCAGUGGGGAAUUUUGGACAAUGGGGGCAACCCUGAUCCAGCAAUGCCGCGUGUGCGAAGAAGGCCUUCGGGUUGUAAAGCACUUUUGUCAGGGAAGAAAUCUUUUGGGCUAAUACCCCGGAAGGAUGACGGUACCUGAAGAAUAAGCACCGGCUAACUACGUGCCAGCAGCCGCGGUAAUACGUAGGGUGCAAGCGUUAAUCGGAAUUACUGGGCGUAAAGCGUGCGCAGGCGGUUCGCUAAGACAGUCGUGAAAUCCCCGGGCUUAACCUGGGAACUGCGAUUGUGACUGGCGAGCUAGAGUACGGCAGAGGGGGGUGGAAUUCCUGGUGUAGCAGUGAAAUGCGUAGAGAUCAGGAGGAACACCGAUGGCGAAGGCAGCCCCCUGGGCUAGUACUGACGCUCAUGCAC